rnacentral:rRNA from 1 species
UGCAGAAGAAGCACCGGCUAACUAUGUGCCAGCAGCCGCGGUAAUACAUAGGGUGCAAGCGUUGUCCGGAAUUAUUGGGCGUAAAGAGCUCGUAGGUGGUUCGUCACGCCGGAUGUGAAAAUCUGGGGCUUAACCCCAGACCUGCAUUUGAUACGGGCGAGCUUGAGUAUGGUAGGGGAGUCUGGAAUUCCUGGUGUAGCGGUGGAAUGCGCAGAUAUCAGGAGGAACACCAAUGGCGAAGGCAGGACUCUGGGCCAUUACUUGACACUGAGGAGCGAAAGCGUGGGGAGCGAACAGGAUUAGAUACCCUGGUAGUCCACGCCGUAAACGGUGGGCACUAGUUGUGGGGACCUUCCACGGUCUCUGCGACGCAGCUAACGCAUUAAGUGCCCCGCCUGGGGAGUACGAUCGCAAGAUUAAAACUCAAAGGAAUUGACGGGGCCCCGCACAAGCAGCGGAGCAUGCGGCUUUAAUUCGACGCAACGCGAAGAACCUUACCAAGGCUUGACAUAUACAGGGAAUAUGGCAGAGAUGUCAUAGCCGCAGGUCUGUAUACAGGUGGUGCAUGGUUGUCGUCAGCUCGUGUCGUGAGAUGUUGGGUUAAGUCCCGCAACGAGCGCAACCCUCGUUCUGUGUUGCCAGCAUUUAGUUGGGAUCACAGGAGACUGCCGGGUUAACUCGAGGAGUGGGAUGACGUCAAUCAUCAUGCCCU